CUCGAAUAUAUGUGUCAUUUUGACUUCGCAUCAUACAAAUUUGUAUCAUGAUAUAUGCAUGCUAGAAUAUAAAAUUUUUGAAGAAUAGUAAGGCAAACGUCAUGAACACUAAAUAUUCUCAAAGUUUCAGCAUCUGAUCGGCACGAUUUGGUCUGACAUCGAGUCAGCACCUAACCCAUCCUCCUCUGAGCAGGCAAAUGGCAAGAUGACAAGCACAUCUGUGUGUGUGGUGUGUGGUGUGUGGUUGUCUCUCCUCAUCUUGCGUCCCUGUGGUUGCUCCCCAACUCCAACAGCACGCCGCACAUGCCGCCGGAUCACGACACUGGCUCCCACGCACUCUCAAUAUGUUAUACAAAAGGUCUUUCAGUCUUGAGCUCUGAAUACUGUCCGACAAACCACGUUCGCAUCCGCAUCAUAUCCAACUAUUCAUUGUUCCGUAAGCAGACCAAUACCUACUAAUUUAUUCGGUGGCCAUUAGAGUUCUGUGAAGGACUAAAGGCUAUAGCUCCUCCUCCUCUCGGGCAGUUUCAGCGUGCAACGCUACUAGAGCAGCAGAACUCCACCGCUGAAGGCAUCCGCUCGCUGUAGUCUGCUUUAAAGCAAGUGUGGUGUGCAUGCGUUAGUGGAACCAAGAAAGAAAGGCAGGCAGGCACCAACACCCCCACCUGAAA
rnacentral:lncRNA from 7 species